GAACACUUAACAUUUUAUUGUCAAUCAAUUGUGGUUUUUGCUUACGACCCAACCCCCUGAGACACACACAUACACUGUUCACACAUUGAAGGGGUUGAAUGAAAGUGGGAGUAUUAUGAGAUAAGAUGUGAACAUACAAUUUGAAGGAGUAUUUCUUGAAUCUUCCGGGGAGGUUCGUAGGUCUUGUAUUUAGCUAGUACAGGAGUCAGGAGGUUCGUAGGUCUUGUAUUUAGCUAGUACAGGAGUCAGGAGGUUCGUAGGUCUUGUAUUUAGCUAGUACAGGAGUCAGGAGGUUCGUAGGUCUUGUAUUUAGCUAGUACAGGAGUCAGGAGGUUCGUAGGUCUUGUAUUUAGCUAGUACAGGAGUCAGGAGGUUCGUAGGUCUUGUAUUUAGCUAGUACAGGAGUCAGGAGGUUCGUAGGUCUUGUAUUUAGCUAGUACAGGAGUCAGGAGGUUCGUAGGUCUUGUAUUUAGCUAGUACAGGAGUCAGGAGGUUUCGUAGGUCUUGUAUUUAGCUAGUACAGGAGUCAGGAGGUUCGUAGGUCUUGUAUUUAGCUAGUACAGGAGUCAGGAGGUUCGUAGGUCUUGUAUUUAGCUAGUACAGGAGUCAGGAGGUUCGUAGGUCUUGUAUUUAGCUAGUACAGGAGUCAGGAGGUUCGUAGGUCUUGUAUUUAGCUAGUACAGGAGUCAGGAGGUUCGUAGGUCUUGUAUUUAGCUAGUACAGGAGUCAGGAGGUUCGUAGGUCUUGUAUUUAGCUAGUACAGGAGUCAGGAGGUUCGUUUUCACAAGUACGCUUUGUUUCUCAAACUUGAUUGGUUGAUUGGUUGGCUGAUUGAUUGACAUUUUCAGAUAAUU